UCUUAUCAAUUUUUUUUUUUAAAAAUCUAAUAUGGUUUAUUAAAUCCUUAAGUUCAAGGGUGUAAGAUAUACACUCUUUUAGAUCUUUCAAUUUAGCUUGUUGUUCGUGAGUCAGCUAGAGAUGAAAACAGAUUAAAUAAGGAUGAAAAAUUUGAUGAAAUCAUAUCAGCAUCUAUAUUGUUUUCUCGAAUACGAAUUUGGAUGUGAAUAUGUGUUGGAUGCUAAAUUUUCACUAUUAAAUCCUUUUAUAAUGGAUUCAGAUAUUAUCAUAUAUUAUUCGUAUUUGAAUAUUAUUUGAAUGAUAUUAUUUGAAUAAU
rnacentral:lncRNA from 1 species